rnacentral:lncRNA from 1 species
AUGUUUCUUCAUACUGAAUUGGAAAAGCAUUCAGAAAUUCCACCUGUGCAAGACAAAACAACUCAAACCUCCUGGGGAGCCUACCAGGCACUGUUGGUAUUCCAACAACCUCUUCUUCAUUCUUGCCUUAUCAAAACAACUGUUCUCCUUGGACACCUAAGGGCUGCUGUGCUGCAAUGUGAAGAUCUCAGGAGCUGCUAUCAGACUGUUCUUGCUUGGCAGAGGGCCCCAUAUUAUGUUAUUUUGUGCCAGAGCUGAUUGGAGUGAGUCUGUUCACAAUAAAUUUCAGAUGACAAUACUGAACUACA